UAACGUUAAAUAACGUUAAACUUUUUGUUUAAUUUUCGUAUUUAACUAUAAUAUUGUUCGGCGUUCACCGUUAAUCGUGACAAUCGUGUACUUAUAUUAUAUUUAUUGAAUCUGUGUGCAUUUUAACUGCCUAUUGCAUUGUGGGAUUGCUGUUCUUCGUUUCUUAUAGUAAAAUAUGUGGUCAGUCGUAAAUUUUACUGAUGACAAUGGAGUUGCAGUUGUGCCAUCAUUUUGGGUCAAAGGAAAUAAAUCUGCUUGGCCAAAAAAAAACGCAAAUCACUUUAUUAAACAAACAUUAGUACCAAAUAAAUAUGAUUUCGAGUAUUUAUCAAUUAAAAAAAAAAUGUGCAAGGACUUAGAUGAUUAUUUUCAGGCUAAGGUCCGAGCAAAAAAGUCUGAAAAUACUUCGAAUGUUUCAUCUUCAUCAUAUGAAACAGAUGAUGAAAUCAGAACUAGGCAAAAGAA